GGAGGGACGGGGAGACAGGAAUCAGGAGGAGCCUCUGACGGCCCUGGGAUCAGCAGGUGGUUUGGAGGAGGUGAUUCUUGGGAGACCUGGCACACUUGUGAAUAGCUCUGUGAACAGCCAUGGGGGCCGUGAGCCACUGGGGACCAGCUGGAAGGGCCUUCAUUCCUCUCUCAACACCUGGGAACUGAGGCAGGACCCACAGUCCUGGGACGAGGUCUGGAAGCACAGACCGGAAAGCUGAACAUUCCAGUAGACUCUCUUCCUGGGCUAGAAGUUUGGAUAUCCUUGGAGGCACUCAGAUUAAGUACAAUUCCAAUUUGAAAAAUACCAGUCUCUUCUGGACAUUCCAAGAGGAGAGGGUCCAUUUCGCACUUCGGUCCUGGGGAUGUGUCUAGCC
rnacentral:lncRNA from 1 species